rnacentral:rRNA from 1 species
CCUACGGGAGGCAGCAGUAGGGAAUCUUUCACAAUGGGCGAAAGCCUGAUGGAGCAACGCCGCGUGCAGGAUGAAGGCCUUCGGGUUGUAAACUGCUUUUAUAAGCGAGAAAUAUGAUGGUAACUUAUGAAUAAGGAUCGGCUAACUACGUGCCAGCAGCCGCGGUCAUACGUAGGAUCCGAGCAUUAUCCGGAGUGACUGGGUGUAAAGAGUUGCGUAGGUGGCAUAAUAAGUAGCUAGUGAAAUCUGGUGGCUCAACCAUUCAGACUAUUAGCUAAACUGUUAAGCUCGAGACCGUUAGGGGUAACUGGAAUUUCUAGUGUAGGAGUGAAAUCCGUAGAUAUUAGAAGGAACACCAAUAGCAUAGGCAGGUUGCUGGGACGGUUCUGACACUAAGGCACGAAAGCGUAGGGAGCAAACGGGAUUAGAUACCCUUGUAUUC